rnacentral:rRNA from 1 species
AUUGAACGCUAGCGGGAGGCCUUACACAUGCAAGUCGAACGGAGUGGCGGACGGGUGAGUAAUAUAUGGGAAAGUGCCCAGUAGAGGGGGAUAACUACUAGAAAGAGUGGCUAAUACCGCAUACUAUCUGAGCGGCCGAUAUCGGAUGAGCUAGUUGGUGGGGUAAAGGCUCACCAAGGCAACUAUCCGUAGCUGGUUUGAGAGGAAGACCAGCCACACUGGGACUGAGACACGGCCCAGACUCCUACGGGAGGCAGCAGUGGGGAAUAUUGGACAAUGGGCGAAACCCUGAUCCAGCCAUGCCGCGUGUAUGAUGAAGGCCUUCGGGUUGUAAAGUACUUUUGGCAGAGAGGCGGUAUCUGCAGAAUAAGCACCGGCUAACUACGUGCCAGCAGCCGCGGUAAUUC